GAUGAACGCUGGCGGCGUGCCUAAUACAUGCAAGUCGAGCGAACAGACGAGGAGCUUGCUCCUCUGACGUUAGCGGCGGACGGGUGAGUAACACGUGGAUAACCAACCUAUAAGACUGGGAUAACUUCGGGAAACCGGAGCUAAUACCGGAUAAUAUAUUGAACCGCAUGGUUCAAUAGUGAAAGACGGUUUUGCUGUCACUUAUAGAUGGAUCCGCGCCGCAUUAGCUAGUUGGUAAGGUAACGGCUUACCAAGGCGACGAUGCGUAGCCGACCUGAGAGGGUGAUCGGCCACACUGGAACUGAGACACGGUCCAGACUCCUACGGGAGGCAGCAGUAGGGAAUCUUCCGCAAUGGGCGAAAGCUUGACGGAGCAACGCCGCGUGAGUGAUGAAGGUCUUCGGAUCGUAAAACUCUGUUAUUAGGGAAGAACAAAUGUGUAAGUAACUAUGCACGUCUUGACGGUACCUAAUCAGAAAGCCACGGCUAACUACGUG
rnacentral:rRNA from 1 species